GAUGAACGCUGGCGGCGUGCCUAACACAUGCAAGUCGAGCGAUUCUCUUCGGAGAAGAGCGGCGGACGGGUGAGUAACGCGUGGGUAACCUGCCCUAUACACACGGAUAACGUACCGAAAGGUACGCUAAUACGAGAUAAUAUGCUUUAGUCGCAUGGCUGAAGUAUCAAAGCUCCGGCGGUAUAGGAUGGACCCGCGUCUGAUUAGCUAGUUGGUAAGGUAAUGGCUUACCAAGGCGACGAUCAGUAGCCGACCUGAGAGGGUGAUCGGCCACAUUGGAACUGAGACACGGUCCAAACUCCUACGGGAGGCAGCAGUGGGGAAUAUUGCACAAUGGGCGAAAGCCUGAUGCAGCAACGCCGCGUGAGCGAUGAAGGCCUUCGGGUCGUAAAGCUCUGUCCUCAAGGAAGAUAAUGACGGUACUUGAGGAGGAAGCCCCGGCUAACUACGUGCCAGCCGCCGCCGUAA
rnacentral:rRNA from 1 species